AUUGAACGCUGGCGGCAUGCCUUACACAUGCAAGUCGAACGGCAGCACGGGAGCAAUCCUGGUGGCGAGUGGCGAACGGGUGAGUAAUAUAUCGGAACGUGCCCAGUCGUGGGGAUAACGUAGCGAAAGCUACGCUAAUACCGCAUACGAUCUAUGGAUGAAAGCGGGGGAUCGCAAGACCUCGCGCGAUUGGAGCGGCCGAUAUCAGAUUAGGUAGUUGGUGAGGUAAAGGCUCACCAAGCCGACGAUCUGUAGCUGGUCUGAGAGGACGACCAGCCACACUGGGACUGAGACACGGCCCAGACUCCUACGGGAGGCAGCAGUGGGGAAUUUUGGACAAUGGGCGCAAGCCUGAUCCAGCAAUGCCGCGUGCAGGAUGAAGGCCUUCGGUUGUAAACUGCUUUUGUACGGUAACGAAACGGUGAGCUCUAUACAGUUGCUAAUGACGGUACCGUAAGAAUAAGANACCGGCUAACUACGUACG
rnacentral:rRNA from 1 species